rnacentral:lncRNA from 1 species
CCCAGCCCCUAAACAUGAUCUUUUUAUUACCAGCUCUGACAGGAAAAUCCCUAACCCUGUCUGCCUGUUUUCUUAAUUUUAAACAGGAAUAAAAAUAUGGGGACAAGGAGCUGGGGUGGUGGCUCAGCGGUUCUCAGCAGCACAUGAAACAAUAAAAUAAAGGUAUUGUGUCCAACCACAACUAAAAAAUAAAUCUUAAAAAACUUGAGUAUACGCAGUCUGUUUUGAGGGGGCUCAAAGUAGUGGGAGUUGGUGAUUUUUAUUGGCUGCUCUAAUUUUAUGUGUUUGAAUUUCAUGAACCCAAAUGAUAGGAAUAUUCUUUCCCACAAGCCCAUCUAUCACCAGUCAUAUUCCUUCUGGGUCUCCUCCAGCCCUGGGCAGAUGUUACAACUUGGAGUCAACAGGACUCGGCCAAGGUCUUAGCAUAUUCCUGAGUGAGCGUCCAGAUACUUCACUUUCCUCGUCUGAAAGGUGCAGUGAGGACCAUACCACCUCAGGGUGUGUGUGAGGAGGAAGUGCUCAGCACAGAGCCUGCCUGGAGCCGCCAGCUCCCAUGAGCCCCAGGCACAUCAUCUCCUUGGAGAAUGAGGGCAACAGGCUGAGAAAUGAGACCAAAGGGUCCUCUGGACCAGCGGGUGCAGCCAGUGACCUCAGCAGCUCUUCUGCGUGCAACCCUAAGAUGACCAGGGUUUUAUGGACAGAAGUGGGCCCUGGAACCUCAUUCUGUGAUGGGCACCCUUAUAGUGGAGCCAGGAGGACUUUCUCUGUCCUGAAAGACAGGUAGUCCUUCAGAGCCAAGCUCCCACCUUGAGAAAAUAUACUAACUGCCAUAACUCAGUCUUUGUGCAUAUCCCAGGCUGUGAGGCCAAGAGUGGCCAUGUGCACCUGUUUACAGAGCUGCUUCUCCCUGUACUAGGACCACCCAGUGUCACUGGGCCCUUGGGGCCACCGAGGAGGAGUGAGUGGUCAGGAUGGAACCAGGUGUGGUAGGGCCUGGAGGGAAGAAUGACUGGGGCAGAGUCAGAGAACAGGCUUGGCCUCUGGCCUCCCAGAUGGAGACCCAGGGUGUCUGAGUGCCUCCCAGGUUAAUCCCACCCCUCAGGGCCUUCCCAGCUGUCUCUGCUGCCCACACCUCUUGUUACUUUUGG